UACCAGCACCCCGAGUGGUCGGGACGAUUAUUGGGCCUAAAGCAUCCGUAGUCGGUUCUACAAGUCUUCCGUUAAAUCCACCUGCUCAACAGUUGGGCUGCGGAGGAUACUAUAGAGCUAGGAGGCGGGAGAGGCAAGCGGUACUUAGUGGGUAGGGGUAAAAUCCGUUGAUCCAUUGAAGACCACCAGUGGCGAAGGCGGCUUGCCAGAACGCACUCGACGGUGAGGGAUGAAAGCUGGGGGAGCAAACCGG
rnacentral:rRNA from 1 species